AGAAUGAACGCUGGCGGCAUGGAUUAGGCAUGCAAGUUGAACGGUAACAGAGGAGCUUGCUCCUGCUGACGAGUAGCGAAAGGGUGAGUAACACGUGAACAACCUGCCUUAAAGUCGGGGAUAGCCCUUGGAAACGAGGAUUAAUACCGGAUGUGGUUUGUUUUCCGCAUGGUUAACAGACUAAAAUUCUUUGCUUUAAGAUGGGUUCACGCUCCAUCAGCUAGUUGGUAAGGUAACGGCUUACCAAGGCGACGACGGAUAGCUGGUCUGAGAGGACGAUCAGCCACACUGGGACUGAGACACUGCCCAGACUCCUACGGGAGGCUGCAGUCGAGAAUCUUCCGCAAUGCGCGAAAGCGUGACGGAGCAAUGCCGCGUGCCGGAUGAAGGCCUUCGGGUCGUAAACGGCUGUCACUCGGGACGAAAAAAAUGACGGUACCGUGAGAGGAAGCCACGGCUAACUACGUGCCAGCAGCCGCGGUAAUACGUAGGUGGCGAGCGUUAUUCGGAUUUAUUGGGCGUAAAGGGUUCGUAGGCUGUUGUGUCAGUCUGAAGUGAAAGCCCGUGGCUCAACCACGGAACUGCUUUGGAUACUGCAUGACUAGAGUACUGGAGAGGCAAGCAGAAUUCCUGGUGUAGCGGUGGAAUGCGUAGAUAUCAGGAGGAAUACCAAUUGCGAAGGCAGCUUGCUGGACAGUUACUGACGCUGAGGAACGAAAGCUAGGGGAGCGAACAGGAUUAGAUACCCUGGUAGUCCUAGCUGUAAACGUUGUUCACUAGAUGUAGGCGGAUUGGUCCCGUCUGUGUCCAAGCUAACGUGAUAAGUGAACCGCCUGGGGAGUACGGCCGCAAGGCUA
rnacentral:rRNA from 1 species